ACUACUGGAAACGGUAGCUAAUACCGCAUAACGUCGCAAGACCAAAGAGGGGGACCUUCGGGCCUCUUGCCAUCGGAUGUGCCCAGAUGGGAUUAGCUAGUAGGUGGGGUAACGGCUCACCUAGGCGACGAUCCCUAGCUGGUCUGAGAGGAUGACCAGCCACACUGGAACUGAGACACGGUCCAGACUCCUACGGGAGGCAGCAGUGGGGAAUAUUGCACAAUGGGCGCAAGCCUGAUGCAGCCAUGCCGCGUGUAUGAAGAAGGCCUUCGGGUUGUAAAGUACUUUCAGCGGGGAGGAAGGCGAUGAGGUUAAUAACCCUGUCAAUUGACGUUACCCGCAGAAGAAGCACCGGCUAACUCCGUGCCAGCAGCCGCGGUAAUACGGAGGGUGCAAGCGUUAAUCGGAAUUACUGGGCGUAAAGCGCACGCAGGCGGUCUGUCAAGUCGGAUGUGAAAUCCCCGGGCUCAACCUGGGAACUGCAUUCGAAACUGGCAGGC
rnacentral:rRNA from 1 species